GCAAAACAAAACCUUCUCCUUUUCCACGUGUAUUGAGAAGAAAAGAUGGGAUUGACUGAGUUAAGCAUCGCAGACACAUCCUCCAAAUCACAGCUGAGAGAUUCAAGUUGGAGCCUGGAGCUCUCCAUUCACCGGAGACCUAUCUCAUUGGAGCCAGAGAACGCUUCGAUGACCAAAUUAAAGACGAUUGAGGGUUACACAGAGACAAUCCCUGCCACCAGACGAGGAAACAAACCAAUCUAAAACAUCAAAGAGCUACCAAUCCGCACAAUUAACAACUAUUCAUCUUUA
rnacentral:lncRNA from 1 species